rnacentral:rRNA from 1 species
UACGUAGGGGGCAAGCGUUGUCCGGAAUUAUUGGGCGUAAAGAGCUCGUAGGCGGUGUGUCACGUCGGCCGUGAAAACCUGCAGCUUAACUGUGGGCGUGCGGUCGAUACGGGCAUCACUGGAGUUCGGCAGGGGAGUGUGGAAUUCCUGGUGUAGCGGUGAAAUGCGCAGAUAUCAGGAGGAACACCAACAGCGAAGGCAGCACUCUGGGCCGGUACUGACGCUGAGGAGCGAAAGCAUGGGGAGCGAACAGG